UGAUCGAAAUUGUCCCAUGUCUUAUGCCACUUGCAUGUCCUAUUUAUCCAAUCACUUCUUGAGACUAUUUCUCAAACGUUUGUACAAAUUCCUUGCUAAUAAUAAUCGUUUACGAGUAUAAAAUUAAAAAUGCAUUUCACGUAAUAAAAACACAACGUUUCUACAAUGUUGCCUACUCCCAAAUUUGUUUACCGAGUUUCAGUUGUCAUCAACCACCGUUUUGCUCCGCUUGAGCAUUCUUCAGCCAGAUUACCUACGUGAAGCGAUUAAAAUUCAGAUUCUUCAAAGUAUUUAGUUAUUAAUUUGAUUUACAUUAACUAUCGAAGGGAGAAUUUCUUUUCAAGCGAGAUUAUCGUGUGCGUCAUUUUGGCUUUGUUUGAUUGAAUCCCAUUCAUACUGCAGUUGCGUACUCACAGAGGAACGACGCUGGAUUUGCUGCGAGUGGCUUUUCAUUAGCUGGUGUGUAUUGACAAGUAGUUGUUCUAAUUUAAUUAGACAACUUGACUUGGUGCACCCUGGAUAUGUAGUUAUAAGAUCUGAACAUAAUGCAGCUGAAUUUGCUGCAAGUGUCUGUUGGUUAACUGGUGUGUAUAAUUUGUCUUAUAAUAAUAAGAACGUACACACAUCACUUCUAUAUAUGAAGUGGUAAGGAAUUGUUUCAUCAGUCCAAGUCCAGAUCGGAGUAUACAGAUGUGUCGAUGUCUCGAAUAUUUAAAGGAAAAACUUUGCCAUCUAUAAUACUCUCAUCCUACUCUCCAAUAAGAGAUGUCUCGAAUAUUUAAAAGAAAAACUUUGCAAUCGAUAGCCUCAUCCUACUCUCGAAUAUUGCCUCAUUCAUGUGACCGUUGUAGGGGAUUCUUGUGGUCUUAAAAGAGUUGUGAAUAAAGUGCACAUGCAUCAUCAUCAUCAUCCAUGCUUUCAAGAAAUUUUGUUACAUUUAUUACAUUAGUUUUGUAGCUUUAGUUCGAUACACAAUACAGUUCUGCUUUUGUUCGAUACACAAAUUAUACAAUUCUAGCUCUCCAAGUCAACCUCCUUUCAAUUGGAUUUUUUUUUUCUUCAAUGGUCCAUGUAGUUUUCUUUUUCUUUCAAGAAGAAUAUGUUGCUAAUACCAUGUUUCCUAUCUAUUGUAAAAGGGUUAAGGUACCCCUUGUACCUUGUAUAUAGAAGAUUUAUUUGCCUUUCAAAAAAAAGUAUCCCAAAACUAAUCAGUAUUUUAAAGCUGCCAACUAUAUACUAAUCGUUUGAUAAAAAAGAACUAAUAAACCAACAUUCCAAAGUUGACUACUAAACACUAAACUGACAUUAAACACUAGUUGUUUCCCACACAAUUUUUCAAAUUGACAACAAUUAAUCAG